rnacentral:lncRNA from 10 species
AUGCACUAUUACCACUGAGCAUUUACUAUGUUCCAGGCCCUGUGCUAAGCGCAUUGCCUGCUGCGUCUCACCCUUCAGUAGGAGUAGAGCUCAGAGACAGCGUCUAAGAGGGCGGCUGACAAUCUGCCUCAAACACAAACACAUGACAAAUAUAGUUCUGCAGUGAAGACUUUAGCCCCACGGGGAAAGCUGAGACUCAGGAGCCUGAUGGCAUAAACAAGGCGAAAGGCUUGGUAGCAAAUCAGAAGACUUGUUUUUGGAAGCUGAAAACUUACUUCGGCAACAACAGUCCUCCAUGGCUCCCUGUUUGUGCUCUUGCUGGCCAGGCCUGGGAAGCCCUCUUGGGGCCUCUGAGGCUUGUAACCAGCCCUGCUUAGGUAAGUACACUGUGCAAAUAAGCCCUCUGGGGCUUACAGACAUGUAAACAGCUCUCCAGCUGACCUUCAGACACAAACUCGGGAUUUAAAACACUAAUUUCAGACCCAUGAGUCCAGAGAGGGUCUGGGCUGGAGGAAUGGGGGCGCCAGAGAAGGGGUCCCAAAAUGAUUGGUCAGUGGGCCGAAGGGCAAGCCAUAGGAAAGAGGGGAGGCAAAUGAGCCAACAGGUGUGAAACCAGCUCCCACAGGACCUGGAAAGAAAUGGAUAAUCAAUACAAAGGCAGUGAUUGUUCCAGGAAACACAAGUGUUGCUGACAAAGUAAAAGGAGAGCAAAAGGGAAAGGGAUGAUUGAGAGGGAGGGAGAAGGAAGGAACGAACAGGCAAGGUUCAGAAGGGAGCCACGUAAGUUAAGUAUUUUUCAAGAAACUUGUUGUUAUAAGGGGCAAGGGGUGAAAUUUCUUUUUUGCCUGCCCUGUCCAAAAUCACAAUGCAAAAUGAAGUAGCGUUGCACAAUGUCAUCGAUGUUAACACUGCUGAACUGUAAAUUUAGAAAUGGUGAAGAUGGUAAAUUUCAUGUUAUGUGUAUUUUAUCACAAUAAAAAAGUAGGAAAAAAAAAACUAAGUAGGAUUAGGUGACAAUCCCAAAGUACUGGGAUAUUCUUAUCAAUAAAAAAAAUGGAAGGUAAAGUCUUACUGAGAACAUGCAUACUGAAAGCACUUGGCUGUGUCUCCCCAUUCUGACAUUUUAGACAACUAUCCAAGGCAUUGGGGAGGAAAGCGUUUUCAGUAUGGAUUGGCAAAAUCUCUCUUUUCUAUGGAUUGUUUUGGCUUUAUGUCUUGACCUCCCCUUCCAGGCAUGGUUGGCACGACACUGGC